CCCUUAGACGUUCUGGGCCGCACGCGCGCUACACUGACCAGUGCAACAAGCAUCCGUCCUUGGCCGACAGGCUCGGACAAUCUUUGAACGCUGGUCGUGAUGGGGAUAGACUUUUGCAAUUUUUGGUCUUCAACGAGGAAUUCCUAGUAAACGCAAGUCAUCAACUUGCAUUGAUUACGUCCCUGCACUUUGUACACACCGCCCGUCGCACCUACCGAUUGAAUGGUCCGGUGAAGCCUCCGGAUUGGCGCGCACCUCGGUGCCGCCGAGAAGUUGGCUAAACCUUACCAUUUAGAGGAAGGUGAAGUCGUAACA
rnacentral:rRNA from 1 species